rnacentral:misc_RNA from 1 species
CAACCCUCAAGCUCUGCUUGGUAUUAAGCUUCACCUGAAAAGGCGGGCUCUAAAAUCAGUGGCGGUGCCAUUCGGCUUCAAGCGUAGUAAUUUUUCUCGCUUUGGAUGACCGGUUGCGUGCCUGCCAUAACCCAAAAUUUUAUCAAAGG